rnacentral:rRNA from 1 species
UCUAGAAAAUUGCACAAUGGGCGAAAGCCUGAUGCAGCGACGCCGCGUGCGGGAUGAAGUCUUUCGGGAUGUAAACCGCUGACAGGGGGGACGAUGAUACUAAUGGCUAAUAUCCAUUGGUAUUGACGGUACCCCCAAAGGAAGCACCGGCUAACUACGUGCCAGCAGCCGCGGUAAUACGUAGGGUGCAAGCGUUGCCCGGAUUCACUGGGCGUAAAGGGUGCGUAGGCGGAUUGGUAAGUCGAUUGUGAAAUCUCUAGGCUCAACCUGGAAACUGCGGUCGAUACUGCCGAUCUAGAGGACAGAAGAGGAGAGCGGAACUCCUGGUGUAGCGGUAAAAUGCGUGGAUAUCAGGAGGAACGCCUAUGGCGAAAGCAGCUCUCUGGUAUGUUCCUGACGCUGAAGCACGAAAGCUAAGGUAGCAAACCG